GCGCGAAAACUUUACAAUGCUGGCAACAGCGAUAAGGGAACCUCGAGUGCCAGGUUACAAAUCUGGCUGUCGAGAUGCCUAAAAAGCAUUUCAUAGCAAGGGCCGGGCAAGACCGGUGCCAG
rnacentral:rRNA from 1 species